rnacentral:rRNA from 1 species
CAGAGGUCCCAAGCGUUGUUCGGAUUCACUGGGCGUAAAGGGGUGCGUAGGUGGUGAGGUAAGUCGGAUGUGAAAGCUCCGAGCUCAACUCGGAAAUGGCAUUGGAAACUACCUUGCUCGAGGGUUUGAGGGGGGGACUGGAAUACUUGGUGUAGCAGUGAAAUGCGUAGAUAUCAAGUAGAACACCAGUGGCGAAGGCGAGUCCCUGGAAAACUCCUGACACUGAGGCACGAAAGCUAGGGGAGCAAACAGGAUUAGAUACCCUGGUAGUCCUAGCCGUAAACGGUGCGUAUUUGCUGUAAAAGGAAUCGACCCCUUUUGUGGCGUAGCCAACGCGUUAAAUACGCCGCCUGGGAGGUACGGUCGCAAGAUUA